rnacentral:rRNA from 1 species
UACGGAGGGUGCAAGCGUUAUCCGGAAUCACUGGGUUUAAAGGGUGCGUAGGCGGUUGUAUAAGUCAGUGGUGAAAGGCCGUAGCUUAACUAUGGGAUUGCCAUUGAUACUGUAUGACUUGAAUGAGGUUGAGGUUGGCGGAAUGUGGCAUGUAGCGGUGAAAUGCUUAGAUAUGCCAUGGAACAUCGAUUGCGAAGGCAGCUGACUGGACCUGAAUUGACGCUGAGGCACGAAAGCGUGGGGAGCGAACAGG